GGGAGUCGUCUGCUGAUGAAAACUGGCAGCCUGUCAUACUAUUUGCAAUGGCGCUGCUAUGAUCGACCUGUCAAGUGUGAGAGACAUUCACGUACGUUCCCAAUCCAAGAUGAUUUACCUCGUCUCAGAAAAGGCUGUAACGCCUCAUCCCCUUUAUUCCCCGAGCUGACACAAAGGGAUGGACGAAGAGAAGACAAACCGAAGGGCGGAAGGUCGUCGACGACAGAACCUGACGAAAGUGCUAAUAUUCCCACAGGCUCCCCAAGAAGACGUUGACGACCACAAGACCGCCAGAUGUUAUUUAAGGCCGUCCUGGCCCCGUGUUACUCAU